CUACGGGACGCUCCAGUAGGGAAUAUUGCUUAAUGGGCGAAAGCCUGAAGCAGCAACGCCGCGUGUACGAUGAAGGCCUUCGGGUUGUAAAGUACUUUUUGCAGGGAUGAGGAAGGACAGUACCUGCAGAAUAAGCCUCGGCUAACUACGUGGCCAGCAGCCGCGGUAAAACGUAGGAGGCGAGCGUUAUCCGGAUUUACUGGGCGUAAAGCGCGUGUAGGCGGAUUGGUAAGUUAGCUGUGAAAGCUCCCGGCUUAACUGGGAGAGGUCGGUUAAUACUGUCAGUCUAGAGUAUGUGAGAGGGAAGUGGAAUUCCGGGUGUAGUGGUGAAAUGCGUAGAUAUCCGGAGGAACACCAGAGGCGAAAGCGGCUUCCUGGCACAUAACUGACGCUCAGACGCGAAAGCUAGGGGAGCGAACGGGAUUAGAUACCCGAGUAGUC
rnacentral:rRNA from 1 species